rnacentral:rRNA from 1 species
GAGCGGGGAAAGUAGCUUGCUACUUAACUUAGCGGCGGACGGGUGAGUAAUACUUAGGAAUCUGCCUAUUAGUGGGGGACAACAUUUCGAAAGGAAUGCUAAUACCGCAUACGUCCUACGGGAGAAAGCAGGGGAUCACUUGUGACCUUGCGCUAAUAGAUGAGCCUAAGUCGGAUAGCUAGUUGGUGGGGUAAAGGCCUACCAAGGCGACGAUCUGUAGCGGGUCUGAGAGGACGAUCCGCCACACUGGGACUGAGACACGGCCCAGACUCCUACGGGAGGCAGCAGUGGGGAAUAUUGGACAAUGGGGGGAACCCUGAUCCAGCCAUGCCGCGUGUGUGAAGAAGGCCUUUUGGUUGUAAAGCACUUUAAGCGAGGAGGAGGCUACUCUAGUUAAUACCUAGGGAUAGUGGACGUUACUCGCAGAAUAAGCACCGGCUAACUCUGUGCCAGCAGCCGCGGUAAUACAGAGGGUGCGAGCGUUAAUCGGAUUUACUGGGCGUAAAGCGUGCGUAGGUGGCCAAUUAAGUCAAAUGUGAAAUCCCCGAGCUUAACUUGGGAAUUGCAUUCGAUACUGGUUGGCUAGAGUAUGGGAGAGGAUGGUAGAAUUCCAGGUGUAGCGGUGAAAUGCGUAGAGAUCUGGAGGAAUACCGAUGGCGAAGGCAGCCAUCUGGCCUAAUACUGACACUGAGGUACGAAAGCAUGGGGAGCAAACAGGAUUAGAUACCCUGGU